rnacentral:pre_miRNA from 1 species
GCCUCUAUUUUUGGCAAUUGAUAGAAUUCACACUGUAACCUCAUUAUGUAAUCAGUGGUUCUCUCAUUGCCAAGCCUGGUG